GCGACUGUGGCGAAGUGGUGAACGCACCGGAUUGUGGCUCCGGCACUCGUGGGUUCGAUCCCCAUCAGUCGCCCCA
rnacentral:tRNA from 2 species